GCCUGAGUGGCUUAGUAGGUUAAGCAUCUGCCUUCAGAUCAGGCAAUGAUCCCGGGGUCCUGGGAUUGAGUCCCAAGUCAGGCU
rnacentral:tRNA from 1 species